GACGAACGCUGGCGGCGUGCUUAACACAUGCAAGUCGAACGGAAAGGCCCUGCUUUUGUGGGGUGCUCGAGUGGCGAACGGGUGAGUAACACGUGAGUAACCUGCCCUUGACUUUGGGAUAACUUCAGGAAACUGGGGCUAAUACCGGUUAGGAGCUCCUGCUGCAUGGUGGGGGUUGGAAAGUUUCGGCGGUUGGGGAUGGACUUGCGGCUUAUCAGCUUGUUGGUGGGGUAGUGGCUUACCAAGGCUUUUACGGGUAGCCGGCCUGAGAGGGUGACCGGCCACAUUGGGACUGAGAUACGGCCCAGACUCCUACGGGAGGCAGCAGUGGGGAAUAUUGCACAAUGGGCGGAAGCCUGAUGCAGCAACGCCGCGUGCGGGAUGACGGCCUUCGGGUUGUAAACCGCUUUCGCCUGUGACGAAGCGUGAGUGACGGUAAUGGGUAAAGAAGCACCGGCUAACUACGUG
rnacentral:rRNA from 1 species